rnacentral:rRNA from 1 species
CGGACGGGUGAGUAAUGUAUGGGGAUCUGCCUGAUGGAGGGGGAUAACUACUGGAAACGGUAGCUAAUACCGCAUAAUGUCUACGGACCAAAGCGGGGGACCUCCGGGCCUCGCGCCAUCAGAUGAACCCAUAUGGGAUUAGCUAGUAGGUGGGGUAACGGCUCACCUAGGCGACGAUCCCUAGCUGGUCUGAGAGGAUGACCAGCCACACUGGAACUGAGACACGGUCCAG